UCAUUGACAUAGAUAAUUGACAUAGAUACAAGUACUCUGCUAGAAUGAUGCAGGUAAAUGGUCGGGAUAGCUCAGUUGGUAGAGCAGAGGACUGAA
rnacentral:tRNA from 1 species